rnacentral:rRNA from 1 species
UACGUAGGUGGCAAGCGUUGUCCGGAUUUACUGGGCGUAAAGAGCGCGCAGGCGGUCGUUCAAGUCGCGUGUGAAAGCCCCCCGGCUCAACUGGGGAGGGUCACGCGAUACUGAUCGACUCGAAGGCAGGAGAGGGUAGUGGAAUUCCCGGUGUAGUGGUGAAAUGCGUAGAGUAUCGGGAGGAACACCAGUGGCGAAGGCGAGCUACCUGGCCUGUUCUUGACGCUGAGGCGCGAAAGCUAGGGGAGCAAACGGGG